CCUCGGAGGAGGAGAGAAUUACGUGCGCGGCUCAUUUGAGAGACAACACUACCUCGGAGGAGGAGAGUAUCAUGGAGGAGGACUUGGAAAACUUCUUGCGAUCAAGAAAUGUCGCUCAGGUGGACAUUACGCGCAUGAAAAGCGACAAGGUUGACAUGGAGGUAAUUUCUCUGAUGACUGAAGAGCAAAUGGGCAAAUGUAUCACUUCCUAUGGUGAUCGAAUAGCUGUCCUUUGCUUUUGUCAACAAAAAAUGUCCAGGGGUGAUAAUGAAAUGCUCCUCCAAAGAUUGAGAGACAAAAUAAGAUCGAGGAAAAAAGGUGUACUGGGUGGAUCUCCAAGUGUGCUCCAAAACCUUGAUGAGAGAAUGGCAAGAUUUAAAAAUUUUAUUGGCUCUGUUGUUCAUUUGCACUUUUGAGAUGUAAAACAUCUGGCAUAGUUAACCACGUGAAGGGCAGUCUGCAAUUGUU